rnacentral:lncRNA from 1 species
ACCCACCACAACCACCACUACAGCCAAGCCACCCCCCACCACACCAAAACCCACCACAACCACCACUACAGCCAAGCCACCCCCCACCACACCAAAACCCACCACAACCACCACUACCACGAAGUCAACACGCAUUGCAACCAGCACAACAGCCAAGCUAGUACCCACCACACCAAAACCCAGCACAACUAUGGCCAAGCCAAAACCCGCCACACCAAAACCCACCACAACUAUGGCCAAGCCAAAACCCACCACAACCACCACUACAGCCAAGCCACCACCCACCACACCAAAACCCACCACAAACUGUGGCUAAGCCAAAACCUGCCACAGCUACAGCCAAGCCAACACCCACCACACCAACAUCUACCACCGCUACAGCCAAGCCAACACCUGCCGCUGCAACAUCAGCAAAGCCAAAACUCGCCACUACAACACCAGCACCUACCACAACAGCAAAGACACAACCAAAAACUGCCACAACCACAAAGCCAGAGCCCACUGAAACAGAAAGACCCAAUCCUACUGAGGCAACUGGGCUAACUCUUUCCUUUGAGCCCACGUUAGAUGUGGAUUACACAGUAUCUCCAGAAGUAGAGGUAGACACUGGAGAGACUGUUAGCCCCUUAACUACAGAGGAUCCGGCCUUAUUAGGAAGCAUGGGCACAACCUUCAGCCCCAAAUCAGUCCCAGAAACAAAGAAAGGUGUGAAAGAGGACGGGAAAGAGAAAUCAGCCUCUUCCAGUCCACCUCCAUCCCUCAGCCAAAUUGUUCCAGAGAUCAAGUUAGGUUUCAAUAAAGCUGAGCUCAUAACCCCCUCAAAGUCAGUGGUUUUCAGCCCUGAAGAGCCUACCUUCUUGCGCUUAACAUCAUCUUCCAAAGAAAAAAAAGGGCAGAGCCCUGCUUUCCAGACCUCCCUCUCAGCAGGUUCCCCGGACACUGAAGAACUGGAGACAAACUCAGACCAGACAAGCAUGGAUCAGCCCACGGCUCGAGCCCCCAGUACCUGCCUGGGGCUUUCACUCUUCCUCCUACCCAGUGUCAUCC